rnacentral:rRNA from 1 species
UACAGAGGAUGCGAGCGUUGUCCGGAAUCACUGGGCGUAAAGGGCGCGUAGGUGGCGACCCAAGUCGAUGGUGAAAGCUCGCCGCUCAACGGCGAGUCGGCCACCGAUACUGGGUUGCUCGAGCACUGUAGAGGCUAAUGGAAUUCCGGGUGUAGCGGUGGAAUGCGUAGAGAUCCGGAAGAACACCGGUGGCGAAGGCGGUUAGCUGGGCAGUUGCUGACACUGAGGCGCGACAGCGUGGGGAGCAAACAGG